rnacentral:rRNA from 1 species
CAGUCGCCACGGUAAUACGUAGGGUGCAAGCGUUAAUCGGAAUUACUGGGCGUAAAGCGUGCGCAGGCGGUUCGCUAAGACAGAUGUGAAAUCCCCGGGCUUAACCUGGGAACUGCGCUUGUGACUGCACAGCUAGAGUAUGGCAGAGGGGGGUGGAAUUCCACGUGUAGCAGUGAAAUGCGUAGAGAUGUGGAGGAACACCGAUGGCGAAGGCAGCCCCCUGGGCCAAUACUGACGCUCAUGCACGAAAGCGUGGGGAGCAAACAGGAUUAGAUACCCCGGUAGUCCCUGUCUCUUAUAC